ACGCUCGACACCUACGGGAGCAGCAGUCGGGAAUAUUGCGCAAUGGAGGAAACUCUGACGCAGUGACGCCGCGUGCAGGAAGAAGGUUUUCGGAUUGUAAACUGCUUUAGACAGGGAAGAACAAAUGACAGUACCUGUAGAAUAAGCUCCGGCUAACUACGUGCCAGCAGCCGCGGUAAUCUGAGCGGGCGUGGCGAAGGC
rnacentral:rRNA from 1 species